GAUAACCUAAAAAUUGCAUGUCAUACAAUAAUUUGUUUCAAAUGAUUUUUAGACCCAUGGAACCUAGAAGAACAUGCACCAAGAGGCAUCAUCUUGAAAGAUAAGGGUCAUAGACUCAUGCACUGUAUCAUAUUCCUAACAAAGCUGUGUUUCUUCAAAAGCAUAUCAUAUCCCUUUGUUUUCUUCUCUAUAGAUGUUUUGAUUUGCACUCAUAACAACUGUUUAUUGGACAUUCUACCUAAUAGAUAAUGCCACUAAUAUUUCCAUGGUAUAUAAUGACACUAAUUGAUUUUUUUUCUUUACACGUGCAUUGUUGUUGGGCACUUAAAGGUAUCUGGGUUUUUGAGAGAUCACUCUUCCACCCUGGGGUAGACCAGCGUCUUUCAGUAUAGGCCGUCUGAAGGCUUCUUUGAAGUAUUUAUCGAAAGACAUGGUCCUAUUAUCACAGAAAAGCUGGUCUCAUACAUGCAUGACCGUUUUUGAAUUCAUCUUUCAAAAUUAUAACAGGUAACUGAGAUUUCUGAUUGAGUAGCUCCUAUUUUUGACAUAAAUAAUUAACUAACCUCUCUUUCCUGUUACAACUGAUUUGCAGGACCAGGAUUUAUUUUGUAAAGUUGAUUGAUAACCUAAUUUUCAUCAUGCUUCAACAAAUACAGAUGACAGAAUAUUGUCAUCGUGUCCUGAACCAACAGAGUUCCCUUUUGGUUAUUCAGCAUGCACAUGAACAGACAGUGACUGAACUUCAUUGGUUUGAAAUCAAUUUCAGGACGUCUUUGCUGAUUUUCUUAUAUAUUUAGCAAUGC
rnacentral:lncRNA from 1 species